AUGGACACGAAAACAACAAUAUAUAGUGAGAGAGAGAGAGAGGGUUGUUAUAUUUCUAUUAUUCACCCAAACCCAAAAUCACAAUCAGAAUCACAAAACCUUAUUCAAAGGGAUUUCCCCCAAAUCUUCCAUAGGAGAAUUUUAGGGUUUUCUAUUCUCAACUUUCUCCAUUAUUCUUCGGGAUUUCCCUUACUUUAUUUCUCUUCCUCGUCAUUGCCGUUUUCUUCGCGCCACUCCAAACCCUUCAGAAGAUAA